rnacentral:rRNA from 1 species
ACCGUGCAAAGGUAGCGCAAUCACUUGCCCUUUAAAUGAGGGCCCGUAUGAAAGGCAAAACGAGGGCUUUGCUGUCUCCCCCAUCAAGUCAGUGAAAUUGAUCUGCCCGUGCAGAAGCGGACAUAAAAAUACAAGACGAGAAGACCCUUUGGAGCUUAAGACAUAAGCCAACUAUGUUAAUAGGCCCGCCUAACCGAGCCUAAACUAAGUAGCACUGGCCCACGUCUUCGGUUGGGGCGACCGCGGGGGAAAACAAAGCCCCCAUGUGGAAUGAGGACAAACCCUUACAACCAAGAGAAGCCUCUCUAAGUAACAGAACUUCUGACCUACGGACCCGGCUUAUAGCCGAUCAACGAACCAAGUUACCCAAGGGAUAACAGCGCAAUCCCCUCCAAGAGUCCCUAUCGACAAGGGGGUUUACGACCUCGAUGUUGGAUCAGGACAUCCUAAUGG